GGGUGUCACUUAUGGGGCAGCGCGGUCACUUAUGGGUCUCUGGGCGUCACUUAUGGGGCUGUGGGUGUCACUUAUGGGUCUCGUGGCGUCACUUGUGGGGCAGGCUCGAAUUACUACGUGCGCAUCCUGAGCAUCACUUAUGGGGCAGCGCUGUCACUUAUGGGUCUCGGGGCGUCACUUAUGGGGCAGCGCGGUCACUUAUGGGUCUCGGGGUGUCACUUAUGGGUCUUGGGGCGUCACUUGUGGGUCUCUGGGCGUCACUUAUGGGGCAGCGUGGUCACUUGUGGGUCUCGGGGGGUCACUUAUGGGUCUCUGGGCGUCACUUAUGGGGCAGCGUGGUCACUUACGGGUCUCGGGGCGUCACUUAUGGGGCAGCACGGUCACUUAUGGGUCUCGGGGCGUCACUUAUGGGUCUCGUGGCGUCACUUGUGGGGCAGGCUCGAAUUACUAUGUGCGCAUCCUGAGCAUCACUUAUGGGGCAGCGCUGUCACUUAUGGGGCAGUGCGGUCACUUAUGGGUCUCUGGGCGUCACUUGUGGGUCUCGGGAGGUCACUUAUGGGGCAGUGCUGUCACUUAUGGGGCAGUGCUGUCACUUAUGGGUCUCUGGGCCUCACUUAUGGGGCAGUGUGGUCACUUAUGGGGCUGUGGGUGUCACUUAUGGGUCUCGUGGCGUCACUUGUGGGGCAGGCUCCAAUUACUAUGUGCGCAUCCUGAGCAUCACUUAUGGGGCAGUGCUGUCACUUAUGGGUCUUGGGGCGUCACUUAUGGGUCUCGGGGCGUCACUUAUGGGUCUCAGGGGGUCACUUAUGGGUCUCAGGGCGUCACUUAUGGGGCAGCGCGGUCACUUAUGGGGCAGUGCUGUCACUUGUGGGUCUCGGGGGGUCACUUAUGGGUCUCAGGGGGUCACUUAUGGGUCUCUGGGCAUCACUUAUGGGGCAGCGCGGUCACUUAUGGGUCUCGUGGCGUCACUUGUGGGGCAGUGCUGUCACUUAAUGGGGUGGUGCUGUCACUUGUGGGUCUCUGGGCGUCACUUAUGGGGCAGUGCUGUCACUUAUGGGUCUCGUGGCGUCACUUGUGGGGCAGGCUUGAAUUACUACGUGCGCAUCCUGAGCANCCAGCCCCACGGCUGACCCCCGUAGCCGCCCCACAGAAGCUGCAGCAGGAGCUGGAGUUCCUGGAGGUGCAGGAGAACUGACCCCCCCCCAUAACCACCCCUAGCCCCAUAGCUGCCCCAUAGCUGCUCCAUAGCCACCCUCAGCCCCAUAGCCGCCCCAUAGCUGCCCCACAUCCACCUCCAGCCCCAUGGCUGACCCCCGUAGCCGCCCCACAGAAGCUGCAGCAGGAGCUGGAGUUCCUGGAGGUGCAGGAGAACUGACCCCCCCCCCAUAUCCACCCCUAGCCCACCCCAUAUCCACUCCCAGCCCCAUAGCUGCCCCGUAGUCGCCCCAUAGCUGACCCAUACCCGCUCCCCAGCCGCAUAGCCGCCCCAUAGCUGCCCCAUAGUCAGCCCCAGCCCCACGGCUGACCCACAGCAGCUGCAGGAGGAGCUGCAGGUGCAGGAGGACUGAUCCCCCCUAUAGCCACCCCCAGCCCCAUAGCCGCCCCAUAGGUGCCCCAUAGCCGCCCCACAACCACCCCCAGCCCCACGGCUGACCCCCACAGCCGCCCCACAGAAGCUGCAGCAGGAGCUGGAGUUCCUGGAGGUGCAGGAGAACUGACCCCCCCCAUAGCCACUUCUAGGCCACCCCAUAUCCACUCCCAGCCCCAUAGCCGCCCCAUAGCCUCCCCAUAGCCACCCCCAGCCCCACGGCUGACCCCCGUAGCCGCCCCACAGAAGCUGCAGCAGGAGCUGGAGUUCCUGGGAGUGCAGGAGGACACACCCCCCCCAUAACUACCCCCAACCUACCCCAUAGCCACCCCCAGCCCCAUGGCUGCCCCGUAGCUGCCUCAUAGCUGCCCCAUACCUGCUCCCCAGCCCCAUAGCUGCCCCAUAGCUGCCCCAUACCUGCUCCCCAGCCCCAUAGCUGCCCCAUAACCACCCCCAGCCCCACUGCUGAUCCACAGAAGCUGCAGCAGGAGCUGGAGUUCCUGGAGGUGCAGGAGGACACAUGCCCCCCUUAACAACCCCCAACCUGCCCCAGAGCCACCCCCAGCCCCAUAGCCGCCCCACAUCCACCCCCAGCCCCACGGCUGAC
rnacentral:lncRNA from 1 species